AUUAGACGAAUCAUCUGGAAAGAUGAAUCAAAGAAGGUAAUAAUCCUGUAGUCGAAAAUGUUGUCUCUCUUGAGUGGAUCCUGAGUACGACGGAGCACGUGAAAUUCCGUCGGAAUCUGGGAGGACCAUCUCCUAAGGCUAAAUACUCUCUAGUGACCGAUAGUGAACCAGUACCGUGAGGGAAAGGUGAAAAGCACCCCGGAAGGGGAGUGAAAUAGAACCUGAAACCGUGUGCUUACAAGUAGUCAGAGCCCGUUAAUGGGUGAUGGCGUGCCUUUUGUAGAAUGAACCGGCGAGUUACGAUUUGAUGCAAGGUUAAGCAGUAAAUGUGGAGCCGUAGCGAAAGCGAGUCUGAAUAGGGCGUUUAGUAUUUGGUCGUAGACCCGAAACCAGGUGAUCUACCCUUGGUCAGGUUGAAGUUCAGGUAACACUGAAUGGAGGACCGAACCGACUUACGUUGAAAAGUGAGCGGAUGAACUGAGGGUAGCGGAGAAAUUCCAAUCGAACCUGGAGAUAGCUGGUUCUCUCCGAAAUAGCUUUAGGGCUAGCCUCAAGUGAUGAUUAUUGGAGGUAGAGCACUGUUUGGACGAGGGGCCCCUCUCGGGUUACCGAAUUCAGACAAACUCCGAAUGCCAAUUAAUUUAACUUGGGAGUCAGAACAUGGGUGAUAAGGUCCGUGUUCGAAAGGGAAACAGCCCAGACCACCAGCUAAGGUCCCAAAAUAUAUGUUAAGUGGAAAAGGAUGUGGCGUUGCCCAGACAACUAGGAUGUUGGCUUAGAAGCAGCCAUCAUUUAAAGAGUGCGUAAUAGCUCACUAGUCGAGUGACACUGCGCCGAAAAUGUACCGGGGCUAAACAUAUUACCGAAGCUGUGGAUUGUCCUUUGGACAAUGGUAGGAGAGCGUUCUAAGGGCGUUGAAGCAUGAUCGUAAGGACAUGUGGAGCGCUUAGAAGUGAGAAUGCCGGUGUGAGUAGCGAAAGACGGGUGAGAAUCCCGUCCACCGAUUGACUAAGGUUUCCAGAGGAAGGCUCGUCCGCUCUGGGUUAGUCGGGUCCUAAGCUGAGGCCGACAGGCGUAGGCGAUGGAUAACAGGUUGAUAUUCCUGUACCACCUAUAAUCGUUUUA
rnacentral:rRNA from 1 species